AGCAACGCCGCGUGAGUGAUGAAGGCUUUCGGGUCGUAAAACUCUGUUGUUAGGGAAGAACAAGUACCGGUCUAACAGCUCGUACCCUGGCGGUACCUAACCCAAAAGCCACGGCUAAAUACCUGCCAGCAGCCGCGGUAAUACGUAAGGGGCAAGCGUUUUCCGGAAUUAUUGGGCGUAAAGCGCGCGCAGGCGGUUUCUUAAGUCUGAUGGGAAAGCCCCCGGCUCAACCGGGGAGGGUCAUUGGAAACUGGGGAACUUGGGUGCAAAAAAAAAAAGCGGAAUUCCACGUGGAACGGUGAAAUGGGUAAAGAUGUGGAGGAACACCCGUGGCGAAGGGGGCUUUUUGGUCUGUAACUGACGCUGAAGCGCGAAAGCGUGGGGAGCAAACCAGAUUAAAUACCCUGGUAAUCCACGCCCUAAACGAUGAGUGCUAAAUGUUAAAGGGUUUCCGCCCCUUAGUGCUGCAACUAACGCAUUAAGCACUCCGCCUGGGGAAUAACGUCGCCAGACUGAAACUCAAAGGAAUUGACGGGGGCCCGCACAAGCGGUGGAGCAUGUGGUUUUAUUCCAAGCAACCGCAAAAACCCUACCAGGUCUUGACAUCCUCUGACAACUCCAAAAUAGAGCGUUCCCCUUCGGGGACAAAGUGACAGGUGGUGCAUGGUUGUCCUCCACCUCGUGCCGUGAGAUGUUGGGUAAAGUCCCGCACCGAGCGCAACCC
rnacentral:rRNA from 1 species